GCUUCCUUAGCUCAGUCGGUAGAGCGCGAGUCUCAUAUGAUUACAGUAAUAUAUGGUCCUGAUUACAGGAGCAAUCUCGAGGUCGCAAGUUCGAGCCUUGCAGGGAGCA